CAAUUCUACUGGCCCACCCAAUAAAUUUUCUUAAUGGGGUAUCUGUGAUUGAUUUUACAGGAGAUAACCCAGUCUAUAGUUCCUCUCCCACCACCACUAGGUACUCUACUGCAUGAUAAAUAGUAUGAAGUUGAUCGGAAAGUUUCAGUGUCUGCCCAAGAGUGAAAGCCAACAUGGAAACCAAAUCUGGUAGCAGAGCCAGAGGGAAAAGCUGUUCACUCAAGAGGAAGCAUGAAUCUAGAAACAGUGCAUCUGAUGAUGCUGUGCAAUACGGUCCUCAGAAGAGACGUUUGGUGCUACAUUGGUUGUGACGGAUAUAAUGUCAGC